rnacentral:rRNA from 1 species
UACGUAGGGUGCAAGCGUUGUCCGGAAUUAUUGGGCGUAAAGAGCUCGUAGGCGGUUCGUCGCGUCGGCUGUGAAAACCCGGAGCUCAACUCCGGGCCUGCAGUCGAUACGGGCGGACUAGAGUUCGGCAGGGGAGACUGGAAUUCCUGGUGUAGCGGUGAAAUGCGCAGAUAUCAGGAGGAACACCGGUGGCGAAGGCGGGUCUCUGGGCCGGUACUGACGCUGAGACGCGAAAGCGUGGGGAGCGAACAGG